CCGAUGCAAACUACGAAUACCGAAGAAUGUUAUCACGGGAGACACACGGCGGGUGCUAACGUCCGUCGUGAAGAGGGAAACAACCCAGACCGCCAGCUAAGGUCCCAAAGUCAUGGUUAAGUGGGAAACGAUGUGGGAAGGCACAGACAGCCAGGAUGUUGGCUUAGAAGCAGCCAUCAUUUAAAGAAAGCGUAAUAGCUCACUGGUCGAGUCGGCCUGCGCGGAAGAUGUAACGGGGCUAAACCAUGCACCGAAGCUGCGGCAGCGACACUAUGUGUUGUUGGGUAGGGGAGCGUUCUGUAAGCCUGCGAAGGUGACCUGUGAGGGUUGCUGGAGGUAUCAGAAGUGCGAAUGCUGACAUAAGUAACGAUAAAGCGGGUGAAAAGCCCGCUCGCCGGAAGACCAAGGGUUCCUGUCCAACGUUAAUCGGGGCAGGGUGAGUCGACCCCUAAGGCGAGGCCGAAAGGCGUAGUCGAUGGGAAACAGGUUAAUAUUCCUGUACUUGGUGUUACUGCGAAGGGGGGACGGAGAAGGCUAUGUUAGCCGGGCGACGGUUGUCCCGGUUUAAGCAUGUAGGCUGGUUGUCCAGGCAAAUCCGGAUAAUCAAGGCUGAGGUGUGAUGACGAGGCACUACGGUGCUGAAGUAACAAAUGCCCUGCUUCCAGGAAAAGCCUCUAAGCAUCAGGUAACAUCAAAUCGUACCCCAAACCGACACAGGUGGUCAGGUAGAGAAUACCAAGGCGCUUGAGAGAACUCGGGUGAAGGAACUAGGCAAAAUGGUGCCGUAACUUCGGGAGAAGGCACGCUGGUGUGUAGGUGAAGUCCCUGCGGAUGGAGCUGAGACCAGUCGAAGAUACCAGCUGGCUGCAACUGUUUAUUAAAAACACAGCACUGUGCAAACACGAAAGUGGACGUAUACGGUGUGACGCCUGCCCGGUGCCGGAAGGUUAAUUGAUGGGGUUAUCCGUAAGGAGAAGCUCUUGAUCGAAGCCCCGGUAAACGGCGGCCGUAACUAUAACGGUCCUAAGGUAGCGAAAUUCCUUGUCGGGUAAGUUCCGACCUGCACGAAUGGCGUAAUGAUGGCCAGGCUGUCUCCACCCGAGACUCAGUGAAAUUGAACUCGCUGUGAAGAUGCAGUGUACCCGCGGCAAGACGGAAAGACCCCGUGAACCUUUACUAUAGCUUGACACUGAACAUUGAGCCUUGAUGUGUAGGAUAGGUGGGAGGCUUUGAAGCGUGGACGCCAGUCUGCGUGGAGCCAACCUUGAAAUACCACCCUUUAAUGUUUGAUGUUCUAACGUUGGCCCCUUACCGGGGUUGCGGACAGUGUCUGGUGGGUAGUUUGACUGGGGCGGUCUCCUCCCAAAGCGUAACGGAGGAGCACGAAGGUUAGCUAAUCCUGGUCGGACAUCAGGAGGUUAGUGCAAUGGCAUAAGCUAGCUUGACUGCGAGCGUGACGGCGCGAGCAGGUGCGAAAGCAGGUCAUAGUGAUCCGGUGGUUCUGAAUGGAAGGGCCAUCGCUCAACGGAUAAAAGGUACUCCGGGGAUAACAGGCUGAUACCGCCCAAGAGUUCAUAUCGACGGCGGUGUUUGGCACCUCGAUGUCGGCUCAUCACAUCCUGGGGCUGAAGUAGGUCCCAAGGGUAUGGCUGUUCGCCAUUUAAAGUGGUACGCGAGCUGGGUUUAGAACGUCGUGAGACAGUUCGGUCCCUAUCUGCCGUGGGCGCUGGAGAAUUGAGGGGGGCUGCUCCUAGUACGAGAGGACCGGAGUGGACGCAUCACUGGUGUUCGGGUUGUCAUGCCAAUGGCACUGCCCGGUAGCUAAAUGCGGAAGAGAUAAGUGCUGAAAGCAUCUAAGCACGAAACUUGCCCCGAGAUGAGUUCUCCCUGAGACUUUAAGUCUCCUGAAGGAACGUUGAAGACGACGACGUUGAUAGGCCGGGUGUGUAAGCGCAGCGAUGCGUUGAGCUAACCGGUACUAAUGAACCGUGAGGCUUAACCUUACAACGCCGAAG
rnacentral:rRNA from 1 species